GAUGAAGAACGUAGCGAAGUGCGAUAAGUAAUGUGAAUUGCAAAUUCCGUGAAUCAUCGAAUCUUUGAACGCAAAUUGCACUCUUUUCGGAGAGUAUGCCUGUUUGAGGGUCAAUAUAAUAAUAAUCGGUAUGUUGCUUUUUUUGUGACGUUCCGGAAUUUGAGUUAUCUUAGUUUUAAGAGGCUUAAAAUUGACCUUUUUUUUGCGCAUUUUUAGACGUACAUAAAUUUUUUUUUUAUUCGUUUAUUCUAAUGCCAAAAUCUAUUAGAUGCGACCAUAUCAUGUGGUUUCGUGUCCAUAAAUUUUCAUGAUUUGACCUCAAAUCAGGUAGGAACACCCGCUGAACUUAAGCAUAUCAAUAAGCGGAGGA
rnacentral:misc_RNA from 1 species